ACGCUCGACACCUAGGCAGCAGUGGGGAAUAUUGCACAAUGGGGGAAACCCUGAUGCAGCGACGCCGCGUGAGCGAAGAAGUAUUUCGGUAUGUAAAGCUCUAUCAGCAGGGAAGAAACUGACGGUACCUGACUAAGAAGCACCGGCUAAAUACGUGCCAGCAGCCACGGUAAUCUGAGCGGGCUGGCAAGGC
rnacentral:rRNA from 1 species